ACACAUUUUUGCUAAUAUUUUUGUAGACUCGAUCAAGUGGCUAUUUAAUGUUCUACUGAGCUUUUUGCUAGGGAUUAUGAUACAGAGAUGUACAAGAUAAUUCUGCUGCAGUUAGGGAUAUAGGUCAGUAGUAGAGUGCUGGCCUGACAUGCUCAAAACCCCAGGUGUGGUGGUGCAUGCUUUUUAUCCCCACUUUCAGGAGGCAGAGUCAGACAGAUCUCUGUAAGUUCCAGGACAGCCAGGGUUAGAGAGAAAGAUGCUGUGUCAAACAACAAACAAACAACCCCCCCCCCCAGUUUGAUGCCCAAACAUCAAAAAAUAAUUCUUCACAAACUUCAUUCAGAUCUUGAUAAGCUGUAGCUUCUGAUUCAAUGUGUCAUGUCAACUUCUGGCUUUCAAACACAUAUGCACAUAUAUGUAUGUACAUACAUGCUUGCACACACAAAAAAGAAAAAUUGGUGAUACUAAUGUUUGACUAACUGUUCCAAAGUUGUAGUUUCAAUACUUCAAUGCACUAAAUGCCCCCAGAGGGCAUAUUACAUCAUGCUAGACCCCAAUUCCUGAGUUUCUAAUUCAGUGAGUCUGAAGUAAGGCCUGAGAAUCUUCAUUUUUUUUUUUUAACAAAGCUCCAGGCACUGGUGAUGCUGUUGACUUUGUGAAGCAUGCUGAGAACUACUGCUGUAGCAUCAAAGACAGUCAGUGGCCUUGGAGCUUCAUGCUGAAGGGACAGCACCCCAUGAUGACAGCUAAGAGGAAUUCUGCUAAACUUAGAGGCUGUGAUACAAAUGGAAGCCACGUGUAGAAAUUUCAUUACCUUUUCAUGGUAGUCUGGCUGUGCCUACCUAUUAUUGUCAUUAACUACCUUUACAUAAAAUGAUACAGUUCCAUCACAUGAAGUCCUUGCUUAUUUGAGGCAGGAUCAAUGAAUAAAUCUUUUCUGUUCCCUUUU